rnacentral:rRNA from 1 species
UACGUAGGGGGCUAGCGUUGUCCGGAAUCAUUGGGCGUAAAGAGCGUGUAGGCGGCCCGGUAAGUCCGCUGUGAAAGUCGGGGGCUCAACCCUCGAAUGCCGGUGGAUACUGUCGGGCUAGAGUGCGAAAGAGGCGAGUGGAAUUCCUGGUGUAGAGGUGAAAUUCGUAGAUAUCGGGAGGAACACCAGUGGCGAAGGCGGCGAUCUGGGUCGAUACUGACGCUGAGGUGCGAAAGCGUGGGGAGCAAACAGG